rnacentral:rRNA from 1 species
CGGCGAUUAAUCUGAGUAUCUAGUGGGCCAUUUUUGGUAAGCAGAACUGGCGCUGUGGGAUGAACCAAACGUCGAGUUAAGGGGCCAGAUUGAAUGCUCAUUCAGACCCCAUCGAAAGGCGUUGGUUGCUAUAGACAGCAGGACGGUGGCCAUGGAAGUCGGAAUCCGCUAAGGAGUGUGUAACAACUCACCUGCCGAAGCAACUAGCCCUUAAAAUGGUAUGGCGCUGAAGCAUUCUCCCGAUAGUCGACCGCCGGGUGCACUUGAGGCCACGUCCCAGAGGCGAGGUCUCUCGAAGUCCCGGUGAGUAAGAGGGUCGCAGUGGUGAGCGCUGAAGGGAUCCGGCGUGAGCCGGCCUGGAGCCGCCACUGGUGCAGAUCUUGGUGGUAGUAGCAAAUACUCGAGAGAGACUCCCUUGAAGACCGAUGUGGAGAAGGGUUCCAUGUGAACAUCAGUUGGACAUGGGUUAGUCGCUCCUAAGCCCAAGGCUAAGGCCUGAUCCCAUGCUAGCGGC